AGUGAACGCUGGCGGUAGGCCUAACACAUGCAAGUCGAACGGCAGCACAGUAAGAGCUUGCCCUUACGGGUGGCGAGUGGCGGACGGGUGAGGAAUACAUCGGAAUCUACUUUUUCGUGGGGGAUAACGUAGGGAAACUUACGCUAAUACCGCAUACGACCUACGGGUGAAAUCAGGGGAUCUUCGGACCUUGCGCGAUUGAAUGAGCCGAUGUCGGAUUAGCUAGUUGGCGGGGUAAAGGCCCACCAAGGCGACGAUCCGUAGCUGGUCUGAGAGGAUGAUCAGCCACACUGGAACUGAGACACGGUCCAGACUCCUACGGGAGGCAGCAGUGGGGAAUAUUGGACAAUGGGCGCAAGCCUGAUCCAGCCAUACCGCGUGGGUGAAGAAGGCCUUCGGGUUGUAAAGCCCUUUUGUUGGGAAAGAAAAGCAGCAGGUUAAUACCCCGCUGUUCUGACGGUACCCAAAGAAUAAGCACCGGCUAACUUCGUG
rnacentral:rRNA from 1 species